rnacentral:rRNA from 1 species
AGAGUUUGAUCAUGGCUCAGAUUGAACGCUGGCGGCAUGCCUUACACAUGCAAGUCGAACGGUAGCAGGUCUUUCGGGAUGCUGACGAGUGGCGAACGGGUGAGUAAUACAUCGGAACGUGCCCAGUAAUGGGGGAUAGCUCGGCGAAAGCCGGAUUAAUACCGCAUACGCCCUGAGGGGGAAAGUGGGGGACCGCAAGGCCUCACGUUAUUGGAGCGGCCGAUGGCUGAUUAGCUAGUUGGUAGGGUAAAGGCCUACCAAGGCGACGAUCAGUAGCUGGUCUGAGAGGACGAUCAGCCACACUGGGACUGAGACACGGCCCAGACUCCUACGGGAGGCAGCAGUGGGGAAUUUUGGACAAUGGGGGAAACCCUGAUCCAGCAAUGCCGCGUGUGCGAAGAAGGCCUUCGGGUUGUAAAGCACUUUUGUCAGGGAAGCAAUCCUUUGGGCUAAUACCCUAUGGGGAUGACGGUACCUGAAGAAUAAGCACCGGCUAACUACGUGCCAGCAGCCGCGGUAAUACGUAGGGUGCAAGCGUUAAUCCGGAAUUACUGGGGCGUAAAGCGUGCGCAGGCGGUUGUGUAAGACAGGUGUGGAAUCCCGGGCUUAACUGGGAAUGCCUUUUUUACUGCCCGACUAAAUGUGUCAGAGGCGGUGAAUUCCCCGUGUAGCAGGGAAUGCGUAAAUCUGUGGAG